GAUGAAGAACGCAGCGAAAUGCGAUAAGUAAUGUGAAUUGCAGAGUUCAGUGAAUCAUCGAAUCUUUGAACGCACAUUGCGCCCGUCAGUAUUCUGACGGACAUGCCUGUCCGAGCGUCAUUUCAACCCUCAAGCACUGCUUGGCGUUGGCGGAUUGCGUGCCCUCGCGGCGCUGCAACCGCCCAAAUACAGUGGCGGUCCCGCUGCGGCUCCCUUUGCGUAGUAACUCACCUCGCACUGGACCGGGCGGCGGCCUGCCGUAAAACCCCAACUCACGAAAUGUUGACCUCGGAUCAGGUAGGAAUACCCGCUGAACUUAAGCAUAUCAAUAAGCGGAGGA
rnacentral:misc_RNA from 1 species